GGGGAUGCGUGGUCUCGACAGGGCCGGAUUCCCGAGGAACGCGAGCCGAGGUGCCGUCGGGCCUCGUAAAAAGGCGGCAAAAGAAGUAACUGGCAACCGCCAGCCUGCUCUCGCCCUCGCUGCUUAGGCAGUAAGGUGAGCGUGGAAGCAGCCUCAUCCCCGUGGGCUGUGGAAGCGUCAUUCAGCGGGGAUGCGCUUCGGAGUAGCGUCACGUAGUCCGAAGCAAAGCCCGAAAGGGGACGUGACUGGUCCUUCGCGAACGGUGCCGAUGCCGGCUGCGGAGGAUGACGACAAAACAUCGGACACGCUCGUAGUGGGCCUCGGCUGAACGCUCUGGACGGGGAGUUCGACUCUCCCCCAUCUCCACCA
rnacentral:tmRNA from 2 species